rnacentral:rRNA from 1 species
CGAAAGAUGGUGAACUAUGCCUGGCCAGGAUGAAGCCAGAGGAAACUCUGGUGGAGGUCCGCAGCGAUUCUGACGUGCAAAUCGAUCGUCGGAGCUGGGUAUAGGGGCGAAAGACUAAUCGAACCAUCUAGUAGCUGGUUCCCUCCGAAGUUUCCCUCAGGAUAGCUGGAACUCGUUGGAUGAAUUUCAUCCGGUAAAGCGAAUGAUUAGAGGUCUUGGGGACGAAACGCCCUCAACCUAUUCUCAAACUUUAAAUGGGUGAGAUGCCAAGCUUGCUUAAAAUGUGAUGAAUGUGAAGCUUUGGCGAUUAAUCUGAGUAUCUAGUGGGCCACUUUU